AGCAGCCGCGGUAAUUCCAGCUCCAAUAGCGUAUAUUAAAGUUGUUGCAGUUAAAAAGCUCGUAGUUGAAUUUCGGGACCAAUCUGCCGGUCGUGCCUCCGGUACGCACUGGUUUUAUUGGUCUCUCCCUUCUGACGAACCAUGAUGUCAUUAAUUUGGUGUCAUGGGGAAUCAGGACUGUUACUUUGAAAAAAUUAGAGUGUUUAAAGCAGGCUCACGCUUGAAUACAUUAGCAUGGAAUAAUGAAAUAGGACGUUUGACCAUAUUUUUGUUGGUUUCUAGGAUCGACGUAAUGAUUAAUAGGGAUAGUUGGGGGCAUUAGUAUUCAAUUGUCAGAGGUGAAAUUCUUUGGAUUUAUUGAAGACUAACUACUGCGAAAGCAUUUUGCCAAGGAUGUUUUCAUUAAUCAAGAACGAAAGUUAGGGGAUCGAAGACGAUCAGAUACCGUCGUAGUCUUAACCAUAAACUAUGCCGACUAGGGAUCGGAUGAUGUUAAUUUUUUUCAAUGACUCAUUCGGCG
rnacentral:rRNA from 1 species